UUUCCGGUUGAUCCGCCGCCGGCCACCGCUAUCAAGUUCCGACUAAGCCAUGCGAGUCAAGGUAUCGUAAGAUGCCGGCAAACUGCUCAGUAACACGUGGAUAAUCUAACCUUGAGUAAGGGAUAACCUCGGGAAACUGAGGAUAAUACCUUAUAAUUGCUUAAAACUGGAAUGUUUAAGCAAUAAAAGUUCCGACGCUCAAGGAUGAGUCUGCGACCUAUCAGGUAGUAGGUGGUGUAAUGGACCACCUAGCCUCAGACGGGUACGGGCCCUGGGAGGGGUAGCCCGGAGAUGGACUCUGAGACAUCAGUCCAGGCCCUACGGGGCGCAGCAGGCGCGAACACUGUGCAAUGCGCGAAAGCGCGACACGGGGAGCUCGAGUGUCUUGGCAUAGCCAAGACUUUUCUCAUUCCUAAAAAGCAUGAGGAAUAAGUGCUGGGUAAGACGGGUGCCAGCCGCCGCGGUAACACCCGCAGCACAAGUGGUGGUCACUUUUAUUGAGCCUAAAGCGUUCGUAGCCGGUUUUGUAAAUCUUUAGAUAAAGCCUGAAGCUUAACUCCAGAAAGUCUGAAGAGACUGCAAGACUUGAGAUCGGGUGAGGUUAAACGUACUUUCAGGGUAGGGGUAAAAUCCUGUAAUCCCGGAAGGACGACCAGUGGCGAAAGCGUUUAACUAGAACGAAUCUGACGGUAAGGAACGAAGGCUAGGGUAGCAAACCGGAUUAGAUACCCGGGUAGUCCUGGCUGUAAACACUGCCCAUUUGAUGUUGCUUUUCCGUUGAGGGAAGGCAGUGUCGGAGCGAAGGUGUUAAAUGGGCCGCUUGGGAAGUAUGGUCGCAAGACUGAAACUUAAAGGAAUUGGCGGGGGAGCACCGCAACGGGAGGAAUGUGCGGUUUAAUUGGAUUCAACGCCGGA
rnacentral:rRNA from 1 species